rnacentral:rRNA from 1 species
UAGGGAAUCUUCGGCAAUGGGGGCAACCCUGACCGAGCAACGCCGCGUGAGUGAAGAAGGUUUUCGGAUCGUAAAGCUCUGUUGUAAGAGAAGAACGAGUGUGAGAGUGGAAAGUUCACACUGUGACGGUAACUUACCAGAAAGGGACGGCUAACUACGUGCCAGCAGCCGCGGUAAUACGUAGGUCCCGAGCGUUAUCCGGAUUUAUUGGGCGUAAAGCGAGCGCAGGCGGUUAGAUAAGUCUGAAGUUAAAGGCUGUGGCUUAACCAUAGUACGCUUUGGAAACUGUUUAACUUGAGUGCAGAAGGGGAGAGUGGAAUUCCAUGUGUAGCGGUGAAAUGCGUAGAUAUAUGGAGGAACACCGGUGGCGAAAGCGGCUCUCUGGUCUGUAACUGACGCUGAUGUGCGAAAGCGUGGGGAUCAAACAGGAUUAGAUACCCUGGUAGUCCACGCCGUAACGAUGAGUGCUAGGUGUUAGACCCUUUCCGGGGUUUAGUGUCGCAGCUAACGCAUUAAGCACUCCGCCUGGGGAGUACGACCGCAAGGUUG